rnacentral:rRNA from 1 species
CGGACGGGUGAGUAACACGUGGAUAACCUACCUAUAAGACUGGGAUAACUUCGGGAAACCGGAGCUAAUACCGGAUAAUAUAUUGAACCGCAUGGUUCAAUAGUGAAAGACGGCUUUGCUGUCACUUAUAGAUGGAUCCGCGCCGCAUUAGCUAGUUGGUAAGGUAACGGCUUACCAAGGCAACGAUGCGUAGCCGACCUGAGAGGGUGAUCGGCCACACUGGAACUGAGACACGGUCCAGACUCCUACGGGAGGCAGCAGAA